AUACACGGGUUAGAGCCUGGUUGGUUAGGCGCCUCAUUUGGGUUGAGGAUUUUUUAUGUUCGAAUCAUAAUAACCCGA
rnacentral:tRNA from 1 species